rnacentral:rRNA from 1 species
CCUACGGGUGGCAGCAGUGAGGAAUAUUGGUCAAUGGGCGCUAGCCUGAACCAGCCAAGUAGCGUGAAGGAUGAAUGCCCUAUGGGUUGUAAACUUCUUUUGUAUGGGAAUAAAGUGGAGUAUGUAUACUGCUUUGCAUGUACCUUAUGAAUAAGGAUCGGCUAACUCCGUGCCAGCAGCCGCGGUAAGACGGAGGAUACGAGCGUUGUCCGGAUUUAUUGGGUUUAAAGGGAGCGUAGGCGGGUGGUUAAGUCAGUUGUGAAAGGUUUCGGCUCAACCGGAAAAUUGCAGUUGAUACUGGCAUCCUUGAGUACAGUAGAGGUAAGCGGAAUUCGUGGUGUAGCGGUGAAAUGCGUAGAUAUCACGAAGAACUCCGAUUGCGAAGGCAGCCUGCUGGACUGUAACUGACGCUGAGGCUCGAAAGUGUGGGUAUCGAACAGGAUUAGAUACCCUUGUAGUC